ACGCUCCAGAUGUUUAAGCCCCCGCGAACGGGCUGAUUGAAGCCCCACGAUUCGGGGCGGAUGAAGCUGCUG